rnacentral:rRNA from 1 species
UACGGGGGGGCAAGCGUUGUUCGGAAUUACUGGGCGUAAAGGGCUCGUAGGCGGCCAACUAAGUCAGACGUGAAAUCCCUCGGCUUAACCGGGGAACUGCGUCUGAUACUGGUUGGCUUGAAUCCGGGAGAGGGAUGUGGAAUUCCAGGUGUAGCGGUGAAAUGCGUAGAUAUCUGGAGGAACACCGGUGGCGAAGGCGGCAUCCUGGACCGGUAUUGACGCUGAGGAGCGAAAGCCAGGGGAGCAAAGCGGG